AUUGAACGCUGGCGGCAGGCCUAACACAUGCAAGUCGAGCGGAUGAAGGGAGCUUGCUCCUGGAUUCAGCGGCGGACGGGUGAGUAAUGCCUAGGAAUCUGCCUGGUAGUGGGGGAUAACGUCCGGAAACGGGCGCUAAUACCGCAUACGUCCUGAGGGAGAAAGUGGGGGAUCUUCGGACCUCACGCUCUCAGAUGAGCCUAGGUCGGAUUAGCUAGUUGGUGGGGUAAAGGCCUACCAAGGCGCCGAUCCGUAACUGGUCUGAGAGGAUGAUCAGUCACACUGGAACUGGGACACGGUCCAGACUCCUACGGGAGGCAGCAGUGGGGAAUAUUGGACAAUGGGCGAAAGCCUGAUCCAGCCAUGCCGCGUGUGUGAAGAAGGUCUUCGGGUUGUAAAGCACUUUAAGUUGGGAGGAAGGGCAGUAAGUUAAUACCUUGCUGUUUUGACGUUACCAACAGAAUAAGCACCGGCUAACUUCGUG
rnacentral:rRNA from 1 species